CGUCGAACACAGCAGAAUUCAGUCAACACACAGAUCUCCUAGAGUGAACAAGUAAAAAUUCUAAAAAAAAACAAUCAAAUAUUUUCGGAUCAUUUUUGGUGAACAUAUCUCGUUUUGUUCAAUUCAGUGUUUAGUAUUUUAGUUUUAGUUAGGCUUAAGCAUAAAGUAUCAAGCAUUGUUGUGGAGCAGUUUCUUUAACGCAUGACAUGAUAUAGUUUAUAAUACAAUAAACUAAAACACGUGAAACACACGAAAUCGCUAUAUGCUGCUGCAACUGACUAAUCGCAAAAGACACACACAAGUAUACACUAAAACACAAAACUGGGUUGGUGUAACAAUUAACUAAGUAAACUGAAUGUACACUACACGUAUUGAUGCAUUGUUUUAAACACAAAACUGGGUUGGUGUAACUAGUCAUUAACUAACGAAACUAAAUGUACACUACAAAUAUUGAUGCAUUGCUUUAACACAAAAGAAGACUAGAACGCAAAUUCGCAGUUCAAAUUUUGGAAGCUCAAACGAAAAUUCAUGGAAGAGCAAGGGAAAAUUUGGCGGUGGAAUGCAGCUAAAUGCCAGAGAUGAACUGCCCAUUGAUCAUCAAGAAAUAUGAAAAAGCCCGACGCCAGCCAAAAUCGGGAGUAAAUCAAAAAGCUGCAUCACCACAACUUCGACCUACCAAGUUUGCUUUUCGUAUGCGGCCCUAUUUGUAGAAAACAAAAAUACACUU